AGUCGACGAUGAUCCNGCUUGCUGGGGGAUUAGUGGCGAACGGGUGAGUAACACGUGAGUAACCUGCCCUUGACUCUGGGAUAAGCCUGGGAAACUGGGUCUAAUACCGGAUACGACCAUCUGGCGCAUGUCAUGGUGGUGGAAAGCUUUUGUGGUUUUGGAUGGACUCGCGGCCUAUCAGCUUGUUGGUGGGGUAAUGGCCUACCAAGGCGACGACGGGUAGCCGGCCUGAGAGGGUGACCGGCCACACUGGGACUGAGACACGGCCCAGACUCCUACGGGAGGCAGCAGUGGGGAAUAUUGCACAAUGGGCGCAAGCCUGAUGCAGCGACGCCGCGUGAGGGAUGACGGCCUUCGGGUUGUAAACCUCUUUCAGUAGGGAAGAAGCGAAAGUGACGGUACCUGCAGAAGAAGCGCCGGCUAACUACGUGCCAGCAGCCGCGGUAAUACGUAGGGCGCAAGCGUUAUCCGGAAUUAUUGGGCGUAAAGAGCUCGUAGGCGGUUUGUCGCGUCUGCUGUGAAAGACCGGGGCUCAACUCCGGUUCUGCAGUGGGUACGGGCAGACUAGAGUGCAGUAGGGGAGACUGGAAUUCCUGGUGUAGCGGUGAAAUGCGCAGAUAUCAGGAGGAACACCGAUGGCGAAGGCAGGUCUCUGGGCUGUAACUGACGCUGAGGAGCGAAAGCAUGGGGAGCGAACAGGAUUAGAUACCCUGGUAGUCCAUGCCGUAAACGUUGGGCACUAGGUGUGGGGGACAUUCCACGUUUUCCGCGCCGUAGCUAACGCAUUAAGUGCCCCGCCUGGGGAGUACGGCCGCAAGGCUAAAACUCAAAGGAAUUGACGGGGGCCCGCACAAGCGGCGGAGCAUGCGGAUUAAUUCGAUGCAACGCGAAGAACCUUACCAAGGCUUGACAUGAACCGGUAAUACCUGGAAACAGGUGCCCCGCUUGCGGUCGGUUUACAGGUGGUGCAUGGUUGUCGUCAGCUCGUGUCGUGAGAUGUUGGGUUAAGUCCCGCAACGAGCGCAA
rnacentral:rRNA from 1 species